CAAGGAAUUUUCCCCAAUGGGCUCACGCCUGAGGGAGCAACGCCGCGUGCAGGACGACGGCCUUCGGGUUGUAAACUGCUUUUAGGGGGGAAGACCACGACGGUACCCCCUGAAUAAGCCCCGGCUAACUCCGUGCCAGCAGCCGCGGUAAGACGGAGGGGGCAAGCGUUGUCCGGAAUCACUGGGCGUAAAGCGCGCGUAGGUGGCACAGUGCGUCGGUGCUGAAAGCGCCGGGCUUAACCCGGCGAGGUGCAGCGAUACGACUGAGCUCGAGGCAGGGAGAGGGUGGCGGAAUUCCGGGUGUAGUGGUGAAAUGCGUAGAGAUCCGGAGGAACGCCAGUGGUGCAGACGGCCACCUGGCCCUGACCUGACACUGAGGCGCGACAGCGUGGGGAGCGAACCGG
rnacentral:rRNA from 1 species